rnacentral:misc_RNA from 1 species
GAUGAAGAACGUAGCAAAAUGCGAUAAGUAAUGUGAAUUGCAGAAUUCAGUGAAUCAUCGAGUUUUUGAACGCAUAUUGCGCCCUCUGGUAUUCCGGGGGGCAUGCCUGUUCGAGCGUCAUUAAAUAACCCUCAAGCAUAGCUUGGUGUUGGGCUUUUUUACGUCCUUGACUGGGAUGGGCCUAAAAAUUAGUGGCGAUGGCUUUUUUACUUUCAAGCGUAGUAAAUCUCGUCUUGCUAAAGAGGAAAAAGAUUUUUUUUCUGCCAAAAAUUUUAACAUUUAAAGUUGACCUCGGAUCAGGUAGGAUUACCCGCUGAACUUAAGCAUAUCAAUAAGCGGAGGA